AUAGGCACGGAGACCAGGGAGCAGAAUACAGCAGUUCCUGGAUGCCGCCUUGUUUCUUACAGAGGAAGGCAUCUACAAACCCGUGUGUCGAGUGCCAUGCCUGACGGUACAGAACGAUCGCGUCUUCGAGAAAGAACAGCCACCCUGGAACAGUUGUCAAGGCCCAGCACAACCCACACGUUCCGGUCGGAUACGCCUCGAAAAAGUUCAUUGACACAAAUGGAAUUUGCUGCUCACACAUGGACAGGUCAAAGUAUUUUGACAGGUCAGCUUUUCUCCAUAUGUAAAUAAAGUGAUGUAGUAAGUGAGAUUUCAAGUUUCAGACAGUGAAAUGGAAGAUGAUCUACCUUGAUAAGCCUAUUUUGCUGUAGGAGGGAAUAGCAAAUGUUUGGGGCCUGUGGCCUGACCUCAGAAACCUGGAUCACAGAGCACACCUGCAGAGACUCACUUACCUGCUGUGAGGUCAAGAAGAGGGGAAUGUCCAAAAGCUCUCAAUGAACUGGGGGCCUCACUC
rnacentral:sRNA from 1 species